rnacentral:misc_RNA from 1 species
UUCAUUCCUUUCAGUGAGUGCAUCAUCAACUUCAUCAUCUACAUCAUGAACAACAUUCAGAUCAAAGCCUUGUGGUCCAUCUUCUGCAUCCUGAAGUUGCUCAUUCGGUUCUUCCUCUUGCGGUGCCUCAAGAGAAGUGCAAUUCCAAGUCCCUUCAGCCAAGUGUCCUACACAAUAACAAAGAAAUAUAAACUUAGCAAAAAUAUGUCUCUACCCAGAGCACGAGUGGAAAGAAUGGGACAUUUUGAAUGGGACAUUCAGAAGGAUCAUACUGAAAUUCAGAAGUUAAACUAUAUUAUAUAUUUCAGUAUGAUGUUUGGAAACUUACCAUCAUAAAGCUCUCCCAAAGCAUCAAAGAGCGGG